GGGAUCUGGAAACAAGGACAACACACUAAGAACUUUGUGCUUUGCAAAGUCAACAUCAGAAACCAAUUCGUUAACAAUGUGCCAAAGAUAAGUUAUCUUGCUUUUUUCUAAGGGUCUGAAGAAUUCCCAAGAAAAGCGGCAACCCGGUGUGUGUGACACGGCUCGAUUCUAGGGAUAGCUGGGUCCUCUUUUCUAUAAUCAUACAUCCCGAAUGAAUGUGUCCUCACUCAGAAACCCACUUGGCUUUUCUCUAAGUCCACAGUGUUUUUACACCCACUGGCCUCGAAGAGCCUAGGAGAGCUUAAGAGUGACUGACGGGGGUUCUAACAUUAUUUAUUACAACACACAGGCAGAAUGCUUUCGAGUCAGGCUUUUUCUUGGCUCCCGACAAUAAUAAAACAGCCCAAGGGAUGGCAGGGGGUUUUCAGAAAGCAAAUCUGUGAGUCUGUUUGUCUUUGAGCCUGUUCCAAACCAGUGCAAACCAAUGCCUCGCAUACCAUUCAAAAGGCCAGGAAAACCCAAAUUCCCUCCAGAGAUCAAAGACCAUCCCCGACUUACAUUAAAAAAAGGAAAAGAAAAGAAAAAAAAAAAGCUCAGGUUGAGUUAUGGAAUUGGCACAUGAUAGAGGAAUGGAAGUCCAAUUUACACAUGUAAACUGGCUUUAUGCAUUGUUUCUGAGGAAGCAUGUAGCUAUGUUUGGAAAUUAAAUGUGGGAAUGACAGUGUGUCUUUGGAUUGCUGGAGAAACAAAAUGAUGUAAUUUGCACGGAGGCAAAAUGUAAACAAUGACAAUUCUGCUGAAGGUCUGUUUGGCAUCAGAUAGUAAAAUCUGUUUUUGUGCCCGCAGGGGGAGAAAUGAUAAUUGCUCCGGUUUCUUAAGACAUCUUUUAAGGAGUGGAGAGAAAACCCAAACUACGCAAGAAGACAUGGAGGAAACAAACACAUAUUGGGAACACCUCCUGGGGAAGGCAGCUGCACCCAAGUCUCAGGCUCUGCUUUCAGGGGAACCCAGCCAAGACACACAUCCAGGAGGCCAGGUCCUGGGGGAGACCCUCAGGAUGCUACUUCUCACAACAGCUCUGGAGGUACAUUCUCUCAUUAGUCUAUCUUACAGAUGGGAAAAACUGAUGCUCAGGAAGGUAAAGCAAUUUGCUCAAAGCCACACAUCUAGGAAGUACAGAGGGCAGGACUUGAAUCUGGGCCCCUGACUCUAGGGACCCAUUCAUACACUCCUGAAUGCUGAAGGUGGGGAGGAGACACAAGUAACUGCCCCCAGUAUCCCCUGCACCCAUCUAGUUCCUGGACUAUAAGCUCAAACACUUCCAGGUAGCCAGGGAAUUAAUGUUAAUAUGUUCUAGUGGCUGAGUUCUAGCAAUAGGGAGUGGUGGGGAGUGUGGUAAACACAAAACGAAUUCCCAUCUAAAGGAACAGCCACUUGGGCUGCUUUCAUAAUUUAGCUCUCGUAAGUAACAAUUUACAAUAUUUGUUUACAACAGCUAAAUUAUGAAACCCCUGCAGUAAUCACAGGGCUGUAUAUAUCCCUUUGAAUCAGUGUUCAUUUUCUUUGGGUAAAUAGCCAGGAGUGCAAUCCAAUUACUGGAUCAUAGGGUAACUCUAUUUUUAAUUUUUUAAAAAAAGAUCUAAUUUAUUUGAGAGGAAGCAGGGAGAGGGGCAGAGGGAGAGGGAGAAGCAGACUCCCUGCUGAGCAAGGAGCCCCACUGGGGACUCGAUCCCAGGACCGGGACAUCAGAGCCUGAGCUGAAGGCAGACACUCAACCGACUGAGCCACCCAGGCACUUCUAUUUUUAAUUUUGUGAGGAACCUCCAUACUGUCUUCUGCAGUGGCAGCUCAAAUGUCCAUCAACAGAUGAAUGGAUAAAGAUGCGGUUUAUAUCUAUAUCUAUAUCUAAUCUACAUAAUGGAAUAUUAUUCAGCCAUGAAAAAGAACAACGAACAGCCGGAGAAAGACAAAUACCAUUUCAGUCAUAUACGGAAUUAAGAAACAAAACAAACAAAGAAACAAAGGUCGGGGUGGGUGGCGGGAGACAAACCAAAAAAGAGAUUCUUAACUAUAGAGAACAGAUGGUUACCGAAGAGGGGGUUGUAGGUUGGGGGGUUAGGUGAAGCAGGUGAAGGGAAUCAAGACUCCAAAUGCCCUGAUGAGCAGUGAGUAAUGUAUGGAGUUGCUGAAUCAUAUAUUGUACCCCCAAAACUAAGACAACGCUGUGUGUUAACUACCCUGGAAUUAAAAUGAAAACAAAGGAGCAGCCCCGACUCCUGAGAGGUGGAACCUUCCAGCGCACACUGGUUCAGAUCAGCUCCAGACAAUCUUUGCCAGGUGGGAAUGCCAAGCCAGCAUUGCCAGAGCUGACUUUUCAGAAGAGGUGAGAAACCCAGAUUUUGAUAUUAAAUUCUUUGGCAACGGACCGGGGAAAAAAUGCUAAAUAAGAACCCAUCCCUGGGCCAGAUAAAGUACGGGGCCCAAUAUCUGUGGCUCCCAUCAGCCAGGACUGGCCCCUGCGGCCACCCAUCCCCACUAGGGAGGAAGGAGGGAGUCCUUUUGGGGGAAGCGGUCCCAGAGCCUCACCCCGCGGCACGGCGACCCCUUUACCUGCAUUGUGUUCAUCCAUCGAGAAGGCCUUGUUCUCCAUGUAGGUGCGUGGCAGCUGCACGUCCUCCUCGAACGCCGUCUCCCGCAUCCGCGG